AGCGAACGCUGGCGGCAGGCAUAACACAUGCAAGUCGAGCGGGCAUAGCAAUAUGUCAGCGGCAGACGGGUGAGUAACGCGUGGGAACGUACCUUUUGGUUCGGAACAACACAGGGAAACUUGUGCUAAUACCGGAUAAGCCCUUACGGGGAAAGAUUUAUCGCCGAAAGAUCGGCCCGCGUCUGAUUAGCUAGUUGGUGGGGUAAAGGCCCACCAAGGCGACGAUCAGUAGCUGGUCUGAGAGGAUGAUCAGCCACAUUGGGACUGAGACACGGCCCAAACUCCUACGGGAGGCAGCAGUGGGGAAUAUUGGACAAUGGGGGCAACCCUGAUCCAGCCAUGCCGCGUGAGUGAUGAAGGCCCUAGGGUUGUAAAGCUCUUUUGUGCGGGAAGAUAAUGACGGUACCGCAAGAAUAAGCCCCGGCUAACUUCGUGCCAGCAGCCGCCGCGG
rnacentral:rRNA from 1 species